AAAAUCGAGACGCGAGGGGGGCCUCAUGUUUUUUCAACGAGACGGGGCGGCGCUCGACCCCGGGGCCGCUCAGGCCGUCCUGCCGACUGGGGGCGCUCCGUCCUGCGACGACUCCGCGACGGCCGGCGAAUCCUCGGGCGACGUCUGCGGCGCAGCGAGCUCUCGCGGAGGCGAAGCUCGAUCCCGACGGGCGCUCUGUGCUGCCGAUGACUCCGCGGCGGCCGACGAAUCCUCGCGCGACGCCGACGAGUCGGUGACAAGUUCUGGCGACUCCGACGAGUCCAACUGCCGCCGCUGGUCCCGCCACUGUCUCUCCUAACUUCGCGGCUCCUCGUCACGUCAGGCUGGAAUUUUCGCCAAAGGUCCAUUAGCUGAGGCUGCUUCAAUUUUGGCUUCUCAUCGUACAGUUCGGCAUGAAGCUUGACACUUUGGCCUUUCCUAGUGCAGUUUGGCAUGUAUCUAGAACAAAAUGUUUUCUGAAAGACGCUUCUUUGAAUUAUGAUGCCAUGGCCGCCAAUUUUCUGAAAGAUUUACUUGCUUAGCAUGGACCUUCGUUUCUCUGUUAUGUGCAAGCAAGUUGAGACACAUUGUUAAGUGGGCAUAGUGGACAUGUUACUUUCUUCAUUUAUGCUGUGUGGCAUCCCCAUGAGUUUUAAGCAACAUUUGGUGUGUGAAAUACAGUACUCCUGUUGGUCAGUGAUUUGUGCCAAA